CACUGCGCCACGACAGGAACCCCCCCUCCCCCUUUUUAAACAGGGGUAUCAAUUCUGAAAAUACUUCAGAACCUUUACAAUAUGUGAGGCCUGGAGGUGCUCGUCUCCCUUAGUUCACCUGGGAAUAGUACAUUGUUCCUCAGGGACAGGUGAACCCAAGGUCCUUCCUGAAAUGAAAUCAUUGCUAACGUUGAAUCUGUAAGCCUUAGAACCAGAAGGACUCUUAGAGGCAUAACCCAGUCACCUUGCUUUACAGGUGAAAAAGUAGAGACUCAGAAAUGUCAAGAUUUAGUCCAUGUCAAACAUAGACCCUUGAUGAGAAGGCGCAUGUUUCAGCUCCCUGCUUAGAGCCUUUUGCACCACACAGGCCGCAGCCUGGGCAUGGGAGCUGGAAGAUAGACAAGGAGUGCCUUCAGGGAGGUGGGGAAGGAGCCUCGGACCUGGGUGGGGGUGAUGGUGAGGGGUGUUCACAUUCCUGGAGGCCUGGGGUAGAUUCCAGCCUAGAUGGGGGUGGGCAUUGACAGCCAGGCUGCACCUGCUUUUACUUUCACCUUAUCCCCCUUCUCGGAUUCCCUUCCCACCGCACCCCACCCUGCUGGGUUCACCAUUUGUCUUGAAUAGGAAAAUAUAUGGUGGCAUUUCAUUGGUAUAUUUUGAAUUUCACCCCAAAGAUCUUGAUGUAUUCUUGAAAGUGUUUGGAUUAAUAAAUGAAUGCAGGCACCAUGCUUGGGAGAUCACAAGCCUUCAUCUCUCUGACAGCCACACAAAGUGGCUUGUCCCCUGCUAUUCAGCGUAGCUGAUUAGGGAAGGACCUGUUCCUACCAGAAUCCAGAUGAGGGGAGGAUACUCAUAGAGGCACAAAGAGUCACUGCUUUGUCCUCAGUAUGAAGGUGGGGGACAGGUUGGCUGCUCCCUCCCCGAGUGUGUCUGCCCCCCCCCCCCAUGCGGGACUAGAGGGGGGGUGGAGUUGGCCAGCUUAGGGUUUUUGUUCAAACAUGGAUUCCUUUCCCGUUAUCCUCACAGGUUUUCCUUUGUAUUUCUAGGUCACCCACAGGAGUAAACUAAAACUCAGCUACUCUGUCCUUGACCGAACGGGAGAGACAAGGCAGAGUGUUGGCGGCUUGCUUUAUUCCCCCCCCCCACCCCCGUCUGCAUCUCUCUGUUGCCCUGAGGUCAGUCUGCCUGGGUUGGGACCUCAUCUCCAAUCAUUCAAACCUGUCUGACCUUCCUCUCCCUGUGCCUCAGUUUCCUUACCUUAAAGUAGGAAAAAUAAUGGUGCCCAGCACGGGCAUUCAAGGGGUUGAGUGCAGAAAAGCAAUAAGGGGCCCAGGGCCUGUGCCAGGCACAGCCCCGGACACUAGGCCCCUGUUCUCAUUGUCCUUCCCUCCUCCUGCCCCUCCUGGGCGGAUGGAAACACUAAGUGAGCAGCAGACUCGGGCUGCUCUUGGCUGUUCUUGCAGCACUUGGCACCGGUGUGUCUUCCAUCACGGAGAGCUGAAGAGGCUCUGGGGAAGGACUGACUGCCCCACGCUCCCCUUGGCUCGCUGGGCAUCCUUCCUGGGUGCCACAUGUGCCGUCCUGUGCCCCACAGAGGGCUCACAGAAAGGCGCUUGCACCACCAGCCAGCGUGUCGGGCUCAGAGCUGGCCGAGCAGGAGCACAGUGUUGAGUGAAUUCAGACCUGUGCAGCUGCCCUCCCUUGGAGUGCGGGUGUACCUACCGCUCACCUUAUCUCACGGGAGGGACGGGCCUUGCUCCUGUGGCCCCUGCUCAGUAGCUCUUGGCCUUCAAAUAGGGGAGAAGAGAAGGUGCUUUCUCGGAGUGAGAAACUAUACCCAUCGCUUUGGUAACUGGAGCUUUACAUGUGCCAAAGGCAGGCGACCAGGGCUGAAAACGGACAAGAGGGAAGCUAAAGUGAUAAGAGAGUCACGAGAAGGUUCUGUGUUGCUCCUGCCUGGGCUUGUUGUGGGGCCGGCUGUGGAAGCAGCCCCCUUAUGCACACUCGCCCAGGUUUCCUUCAGCUGGGGUCAUCGUCCUGGCCCAGACUGCGGGCCUUGGCUUCUUAGUUUCAAGUGCCCCAUUUGCUCCAAGUCUGUGGCUUCCGAUGAGAUGGAAAUGCACUUUAUAAUGUGUCUGAGCAAACCUCGCCUCUCCUACAAUGAUGACGUGCUGACUAAAGAUGCAGGGGAGUGUGUGAUCUGCCUGGAGGAGCUGCUUCAGGGGGACACGAUAGCCAGGCUGCCCUGCCUGUGCAUUUAUCACAAAAGUUGCAUAGACUCAUGGUUUGAAGUGAACAGAUCUUGUCCAGAACACCCCGCGGAUUGACCCUGCUGGGCUCGCUUGCUGACUCCUCUCAAAGGUGAGCCUGUGGUUGGGAUGGAGUCGCUCUGGGACCAGGAGGGUGGGGGGCUCCGAGCUGCCCUCACACCCCCCCCACCCCUGAGAGGGUCGGGGAGAGGGGAGCAUGUUAGCAGCAGUGGUGCCGUGGGGUGGGGUGGUUCCCGGGCAGGAUGCGAGUGGAGACUUGCUCGGUCAUGGAGAAGAACCUGCUUAGCAGAGGUAGCUUCGUUGGGCUGUGUUCCAGAUGUCUGGGGCCGGUCUCCCUGAGGAGAGGGCCGGGCAGGAGAAGCAGCACAAACUCUGGGACAAGACACUGCCUUGCUUCCCAACUGCCUCGUGCUCCCUGGGUGGUGGGGGCAGGUCCUCACCUUAGGGGUCUCUGCUGCCUCUUUGGGGAAGGGACAUCACAGGCCCUGUUCGAGACAGCACGUGUUCUUGAGGCUUCCAGGCCGAGCUUGGGGCCCCGCUACCCACAGCAGAGCAGUGCGAUCGGCUUCCUCCCCAGAUGUGCACUUGCUCUCCCCAAACCAUCGUUUGACCCCCGUUUCUCCUUGGGCGUGUUGCUUUGUUGCCACCGUCCCCUCCUGUCCCCAUCUGGGCUGGCGCUUGUGCUCCUUGCUAACAGACUAAACCCGCAGAGAAACCCACACCCAAACCCGGACUCCAUCUCCUCUCGCAUCCGAGGGUCUGGGGGCCUCUUUCCCUCUCUCUUCCCGCCUGCCUCUGUUUUCUGUUUUCUUUUGUUCUUCGUUAGGUUUAUUUUCUUUAUUCCAAGUAAACUCCCAGAACAGCUGAUGAUGUCAAACUAUUCAGGGACAUUGGCUCUUUUUACCUUCGCCUCAAAAACUGAGGACGUGGGGCGAAGAAACAGCAAGGGGGAGAGUGAGGCCGAGGGAGUGGAGCCUGGCGCUGGCUGCGAGCCCACCUUCCUGGCACAUUUGGCUUCACGAUGUUCGGCGCCGGGGCCCCCGGACCGGAACCACGGGCGCCCCGGCCCGGCCUCGCGGGAUGCACACGGCCAGCCUCGGCCCCUCGGAACACGACUCACGUCUCCUGGUCCCCACAGGGACAGCCAGGCCCCCCCCCGCCCCCGUUCCUGAGAGGAGGCUUCGGACCCUGGGGCAGAGCUGAGCUGGGGACACCCGUGGGAACAGGGCGCCCCUCCUGCACUGACUUCCAGAGAUGGUUCUCCCUUUCUCCCCGAGGACACCAGACUGGAUGAGCGCGCGUUUGCCAGAAGGAAGAACCACCCGCUCUCCUUCCCUCAUCCUCAUCCCAGGAGGGAAAGGGCAUUUUCUUUUUCACUUUCGAAAGGCGUUGUGGGUCUGUCUCUAAAGUGUUUACAAAAAAAACUAUAAAAACAAAAAAACAAAAAACAGAAACAAAAAG